rnacentral:rRNA from 1 species
GUAGGUGCAAGCGUUGUCCGGAAUUAUUGGGCGUAAAGCGCGCGCAGGUGGUUCUUUAAGUCUGAUGUGAAAGCCCCCGGCUCAACCGGGGAGGGUCAUUGGAAACUGGGGAACUUGAGUGCAGGAGAGGAAAGUGGAACUCCACGUGUAGCGGUGAAAUGCGUAGAUAUGUGGAGGAACACCAGAGGCGAAGGCGACUUUCUGGCCUGUAACUGACACUGAGGCGCGAAAGCGUGGGGAGCAAACAGGAUUAGAUACCCUGGUAGUCCACGCCGUAGACGAUGAGUGCUAAGUGUUGGGGGGGUUUCCCGCCCCUCAGUGCUGCAGCUAACGCAUUAAGCACUCCGCCUGGGGAUACGGUCGCAAGACUG